UUGGCGCUCGUGCACUUGACAGCAGGCAAGUUUCGUUCAGUUUGUGCCAAGGACAGUGGGACAGCGCCAUGGGAAAGUCCAAGUAGGCAUGUUUUCUUUUGUUGCGAAUUUUACUACUUUUUCACCAAUUGCAUAAGCGAGUUCAGUUUGCAAGAUCAAUUUGAGUUAAAGUUUUUAUCAAUUUUUGACAAUGUCGUUUCCUGCUCCGAAUGAUUGAUUGCUGUGGAAGAGAUUAUGAAGACUUGUUGAUCGUUUUUGAACACAAAUGAGGAAACGAAGGCGCGUUUGUACAAAACGCUACACCUGUUGACCCUUGCAGGACGCUAUAAUUUGUAAACAAUUGAAUUGAAAGACGUUGCCGUUGGAAGGUUCCAUGGCGUGUAUGGUGCAUGACUUCUUCAGAAGGACUAGAAUGGCACGGAGGAAAAGUGCGCCGUUAGGGUCUCCCGUUCGGAAGAGUGACCCUGUUGGGUUCUUCGUGAUAUCUUCGACGCCAAACGGUCUCUAAAGCAUCCCCAAAAACUGUCAGGAGAAACGACGUUCAGGGUGAUGCUUUUGUGAGUUAUGAAGCAUAAUACACGAUUAACAACAUGCAGAGGGCACACGUUAGCCUCCUGGGCAGGUUUUGGAUGGAGUUUGGAUGGAGUAGCAAGACGAAGAAGCAGAAGCAAACAGGCACAACAACCCGGCUUACAACCACUUUUGCCCAUAAACACAAGCAUCUCAAGCGGCGGCCUGCAGCAUGUGCAGCAGCUUUCACUCUUUUUCACACUCUAGAGCGUUUCCUUUUCAAAACCCGGCACGUUCGCCAUGUUGCCCACACCACCUACCCCCGUGUGUGGCUCUCCCGUCAGCAACACAACUACACCAGACCCCACACCCCCAGCCAUGUGCUGCACCUGCUCUCAUUUUGAUUUGAUCCGAUUCGGGUAAAACUGCAAUGCACCUACACACACACACACACAGGAGUACUUUUCCAUGCUGCUGCUGUUGCUGGCCGUGUGUGCAAUGGCAAACGUUACUCCAUCGAGGAUCCAGUUGCCCGAACCUACCCUACCGUAAAGCUGGUCGAUCUGUGUUGCUGCCAGUAGCAGGAGAAGCAUAUUUUGUGCGAUUUUUAUUAUGAGCGACAAGGGCGCUCGUGCGUCGUCCGUCCCACCCGCUGCGCGCGAUAAGCACAGGGCGUGUGUAUGUUGCGCGUCCAAGACCACACUCCGAAAUUGCCGCCAGCUCCUUCGUCUGCCGUGUCAGAGCUCAGAGCUGGCCAUAGGGAACCCGUUUGCUGGUAACCGAUUUCGGAACCAACCAGUUCUUCUUGGUGACGGUCUGUGUGUGUGUGUUUUUUACACAGUAGGACUUUAGGGCACUGUAUGCGGACUCUGAUUUCCAGACGGACACAAGGGGGAUUGGGUUGAUACGAUUUUGCCGCAUAACCCCCUCCGCGGGCGCACUAAUUACUGCCUUUUAUAAGACAAAUCAACGUGAGUGAUGUUAAUGCAAUUUGCCGAUCUAAAGCUUGUUGCUCGGAGGGGUCGGGUAUCGUUAUGUAGAAAAGCAGGGGGUGAUUGUUGUUGUAUGGCUUUUUGAUAAGGUCUUCUUGCCGUACUGCCACUGCUAAUAGCAUCCAAGCAACAUCCACCGCAACCCAAACGCCGCGCAUCAUCCAUCUCACGCAACUGCAGCUUUUUUGUGUCCGCUUUAGAGACACAACGCUUUAAUGUACGCGCGCCCGCCAGCAACAUUGACCCCAAAAGCAGCGAGUCGAUUUUAAUCGUGCACGGUAGUACGACCACCUCACUCACCCAAUGUUGGGUGGGAUUGUGUGCUGUAUGGCGGUUGUGGCGAGGAUGAUGAUGCCUCACCGAGUCGUCGCAUCAUCGUUAACAUGUUUUUUUCCACCCCUUUUCUUCUAUGUUUAAUAUAGCCCUUCUUCUUCUUCUUCUCCCUCUCGGUUGUUAAUCGUGUCGUGGAAUUUGCCGUUGCUGCUUAGGUGCAGCAUCGGUUUUUGGUGGUUUCCUUUGGUCUGUGUGUGUGUGUGCGGAGCACACAGCAAGACAGCAAGGCGGCAAGCAAUUGUGUGGGUCAGUUGUGGCUGAUGUUGUUGGCUACCGCGUCGCGAAGUUGACCGACGGUUGUAAUGCAACAUCAAGUUGUGAGAUGAGCUUUUGGGUUAGAGUGUGGAGCUCUUCUUCCCUGUUUUUGCUUGUUGUGUUUAAACAAGCUUUUUUGCCCGUUAACAAGUAGAGUUCAUGAGGGUCAAGAUGGUUUUUUUGCGUUAUGCUUUCCAAAAGACAAAAUGCAUCCCAUAAAGCACACCAAUUCUCUUAACCUUCCCCAUUUGCUGUAUCGAGUCUUUAAAAAGUCAAGAUUUCUCGAAAACAAAAAAUACCCCCCACUACUCCAUGAAGCGUGGCGAAUGCGAUACGGCUCAACGGCUUUAGAACAUGCUAAUUACAUUAACAGAAAAGGUUGGUUUUGCUGUUCCCUUUUGGGGUUGAAGGGGGGCGCCAUUUUGACAAACUGUGUAGGCGAAUUAAGUUGUCGUGUACACCUCCGGAUUAGCUGACGCACCGCCCUUGGGCGAGGAGGGUGCACCGACCCUGCCCCACCGAAGAAGGGUGAAGAGAGCAGCACCAAUUAGCAAUUCAUAAUGGUGUGCAGAGCCACCGCGGUGACUUUUUGCAGAGCCACCGCGGUUUUGCUGUCACGAGUGAGUGCGUGCGGUUUUACAUUUUACAAAAGCAAAGUAUUUCGUUUGGAUUGUUUUUUGUUGUUGCUCUUUUUAACGAUGUGUGUAGGCAUUCUUUUUGAUUCAAACAGAAUUGUGAAAUAAUGCGGAACAGGAAAUACAAAGAUUCCUUAUCUGUGCUUAUUCUACAUUAUUGUAAAACAUAUUGAACAGAUGGAUAUUGGUUGUAAAAACGAAUGCUUCAUUCGAAUAACAGGGUUUUAAUAUUCUAACGCUCGUUAGGAAUUCUAAUGACAACAUUCCGAGUAUUUUGUCCUUGGUUGUAAAACCCUUUCAGGUAGGGUCAUGACUUUGAAUUCAAUCUGGUUUAUAAGUGCUUGUUUUGAUGGUUUAAUUUAAAAUAUUGUUCUUUAAAAUUACAAGAGGUUCAAAAAUAGAAAAAAUAAAUUGAUAAAACAAUCCGAGUGAGAGAUGUCCUAAUAUCAUGUACACUUGACGUUUCAAAAUAAAAUAAAAGGAACUAAUCAAUUUCAUCAAAUUGUUACAGAGGUACUUGGAAAGCAAAUCGAACACAAGAAGGGAGUCAGGAUGGACUGCAACAACUACAAGGGUAUUACGGUGUUCAAUAACGCCUAUAAAAUAUUCUCCCUGAUCCUUCAGGAUAGUCAGAAAUCACAGAAAUCAACCCCUGAUCAGAUCUUUACAAAACGGCAGUUCUUGAUGACAGAAUACAUACACGACACGUACCAUCUCUUCAUUGACUUCAAAGCUGCAUAUGAUAGCAAAGCCAGGGUAAAACUAUACGACGCUAUGAGCUCUUUAAUAAUCCCGGCCAAGCUGAUAAUAAGGGUAAUAAGAAUGACUAUGACCAACGUCACUUGCCAGGAGAAGGUGGAUGGAAAACUCGCAGGGCCUUUUACCACCACCAAUGGUCUGCGCCAAGGGGACGGGCUUGCCUGUCUUCUAUUAAACUUGGCGCUAGAGAGGGCCAUCCGUGACUCGAGGACUACGGAGACUACGGGAACCAUCUUCUAUAAGUCAACCUGAUCAUAUAGACAUCAUUAGUCUGCAGCUCUCCUAUGUAGCAGAUGCCUACCAAGAGAUCAAGCAGGCAGCAGAGAACUUCGGAUUGCAGAUAGACCAGACAAAGACCAAACUGAUGGUGGCAACAUCAGCGGCCCAACCAAUAAUAAAUCCAAACUUUCGCAGGUGUGAUGUACAGAUAGGCGAACGUACUGUUGAAGUCGUACCUAUCUCGGGUCAAAGGUCAGCAACGACAACAGCAUGGAAGCUGAGUUGCGCGCAAGGAUGCUGGCUGC